rnacentral:lncRNA from 1 species
AUAAAUAAAUAAAACAGAAAACACACAACACACAACCAAAUGUAGCAGUGAGGCUGGAAGCAAGAUGGAGUCAGUCAUGUUUGAUUUCUCUCCUUACUUAUAAUUCUGCAAAGGAGGUUUCAAUGUUGGGAUGGCAAAUAUUAAGUAUCAACUUGAUUGAAUACAAGAAUGCAAAAUAUUGUUGCUAGGUGUGUCUGAGAGGGCAUUGCCAGAGGAGAUUCACAUCUGAGUCAGUGCACUGGGAGCAGCAGACCCACCCUCAAUCUGGGGGGGCACCAUCCAAUCGGCUGCCAGCCCAGCUAGGAAAAGUAGGCCAAAGAAAACGGAAUGAGUCAACUUGCUGAGUCGUCCAGGCCUUCAUCUUUCUUCUGUGCUGGAUGCUUCCCUGCUCUUGAACAUCAAGACUUCAGGUUCUUUGACUUUUGGACCCUUGGACUUACACCAGUGGUUUGCCAGGUGCUCUCAGGGCUUCCGCCACAGACUGAAGCCUGCACCGUCAGCUUCACUGUCAUAUUUUUCAGGUUUUGGGACUCAGACUGAGCCACUGCUGGCUUCCUUGCUCCUCAGCUUGCAGAUGCCUAUUGUGGGACUUCACCUUACAGUCAUACCCGAUGUGAAGCCUGACUGAGCAGAGUGGAGACCAGCAGCUGCACGUCAAGUGGCCUUCCCAGGACUUGACUCCAUAUGCAUGUUCUCGUCCAUGGGCUCAUACCCAGUCCAAAGGACUUUACCCCAGCUCCAUCUUUGCCCAGACACACUUGAGGCUGCAGGGUUUUGCUUCCCAAGGCCCUCACCAGAAUCAGAUGCUGGCACCAUGCUUCCUGUACAGCUUAUAAAACCGUGAGCCAAUUAAAUCUCUUUUCCUUAUAAAUUGCCAAGCCUCAGGUAUUCAUUUAUAGCAAUGGAAAUGGACCAACAGAGGUAGUCUGCUUUAUAAUGGGUCAGAACGUGAAUCACAUGAGGAUACGAUAGUGCUUGUUAUUCCUGAAUUUUCCACAUCAUACAAUUCACCUUCUGGGCUCCAUAUAGGGGAAGUGAUUCUGGAAAACGUGGUUCCCACUUCAGAAGGAACAGUGGUGUUGGGGACACGUUGACAACAGAAAGUCUAGCACAGUCCACCCCAUUCAAAAAUAAGCAUCUGUAGACAUUUUCAACUUCCAAAUAAAAGCAGCAACAAUACUAUUUUCCACCUAAUGUGAUGCAACUAUUCAUUUUACAACCCAAAGACCUUUAAUCUUCUCUAUGGAAGAGAUAUUUGAAAAUGCUAGUCCGUCUCCCAGAUGACUAACAACCCCUUUUGCUCUUUCAUGCUAUAAAUACCAAGGAUCAACCAAUAUAAACCUAUAUUACAUAGAGGGGUAUGAAGGCACUGAGACAAAAAGCAGAGGACUCAGUUAAUACAGAAACUAUAUUCACAUCAGCUGGGCAUGGUGGCACAUGUCUGUAGAGCUACUCAGAGGGCUGAGGUGGU